CAGCUACUUAAGUUCGCAGUUAAUCAAUUUGCGGAAGAAGAAUUCGAACGACGUUUAGAUGUACAUAUAUAUAAUCAUAUAUAACAAGUAUAUUCUAUGUCGAUAGAUAUGUUUGUAUUAACAAAUUGCCGAGUAUUUGACAGAGUAAUUGCAGUUUACUUAAUCUAAAUAUGACGAUUAAGGUUUACUGAAUAUGGUUCCUGAAGACGAUUUAAAGAGCGCAUAAUCGAAUCAAUGGACACAGAAUAAUUCACCAAAUCUUUGAUUUUGGCGGGGUUUGCAGCAGUGUUUCCAUCUUAUGAAAAAUUUAAAUUGUUUAUUUCUUUCACCUUAGAACUUCCGAUUCAUCGCGCACUAAACCUUUUUCCUUCACAUAUUCAAAAUACAAAUUACAGCUUCAAUUUUCA